UCCACCGCUCUCACUCUGAUUUCUCUCUGUUUCGGACAUCCUCCCCUGCGACGACGACGACAAUAGCCGGAAGGGUUGCCGACUUCUCUGUUGUCUCUGUCUAAAAUCUCAUCCUUCUUCUCCAAAAACAACUUAGAGAUCGCUGCUCGGCCUCGCAUUUUAAAGCAUCCACAUAGAUCUGCCCGGCCUGAUCAUAUAGUUGUACUCCUUCCAGGGCUUCCAGGGAGUGGAAAGAGCUAUUUGGCAAAAAUGUUGUGACCUUGAGGUUGAGAAUGGUGGUAAUGCCCCAAGAAUUCACUCAAUAGAUGAUUACUUUAUGACUGAAGUUGAAAAGGUUGAUGAAAGUAAAGUUUCAAAGUCUGUUGGCUCUAUCCUUCUCUUAAACCCCCAUAAUCAGGCCCUUUUCCCUACUGGUUUGAACACAACAGAUGCUAAAAGUAGCUAAAAUUUCGGCCACUUAAAACUAAAACCAUUUAUGCGAGGCGCCUUCAGAACAAGCCAUUUAUGCGAGGAGAGAGCAGCGACACUGUCAGAGGUGAUUUUCCACUCAGUGUUUCAGAUGAGAGGUACCAUUUGAAGUUCUUGUUCGAAGGCAAAUAGCACGGUUAUUGGAUCCUAGUCUUCAAUGUAAAAGGUUCAUUUAUGAUGAGUUCAUAAAGGUAGGUGUGAUAAAGUUUUUGUACUUUACUGUUGCAUGAGGAUUCAAUUUAUAAGUAUUUCAUACUUAUUCUGAAGUUCACCAUGAGUCACUGUUGUAUGGCGAAUGAAUUGCAACUAUUCCGG